GUUUGAGUGAUGACUAUACCAAAAAAAAGUCGGAUACCCCUUCACUCUUAUUAUGAGUGAAAAUAAUAGUCUGACAAAC
rnacentral:snoRNA from 1 species